rnacentral:rRNA from 1 species
CCUACGGGCGGCAGCAGUGGGGAAUCUUCCGCAAUGGGCGCAAGCCUGACGGAGCAAUGCCGCGUGAACGAAGAAGGUCUUCGGAUUGUAAAGUUCUGUCCUUAUCGAAGAGAGAGUAUAGAGUGAAAAAUGAUAUACUAGGACGGUAGAUGAGGAGGAAGCCCCGGCUAACUACGUGCCAGCAGCCGCGGUAAUACGUAGGUGGCAAGCGUUAUCCGGAUUUACUGGGUGUAAAGGGCGUGUAGGCGGGAGUGCAAGUCAGAUGUGAAAACUAUGGGCUCAACCCAUAGCCUGCAUUUGAAACUGUACUUCGUGAGUGCUGGAGAGGCAAUCGGAAUUCCGUGUGUAGCGGUGAAAUGCGUAGAUAUACGGAGGAACACCAGUGGCGAAGGCGGAUUGCUGGACAGUAACUGACGCUGAGGCGCGAAAGCGUGGGGAGCAAACAGGAUUAGAUACCCGGGUAGUC